CCUANGGGAGGCUGCAGUGAGGAAUUUUGCGCAAUGGGGGAAACCCUGACGCAGCAACGCCGCGUGGGUGAAGAAGGCCUUCGGGUCGUAAAGCCCUGUCAGGUGGGAAGAAUGUCCCAGGGGUGAAUAAUUUUUGGGAGUGACGGUACCACCAGAGGAAGCACCGGCUAACUCCGUGCCAGCAGCCGCGGUAAUACGGAGGGUGCGAGCGUUGUUCGGAAUUAUUGGGCGUAAAGGGCGUGCAGGCGGCUGGGUAAGUCUGAUGUGAAAGCCCGGGGCUCAACCCCGGAAGAGCAUUGGAAACUGCCUAGCUUGAGUACCGGAGAGGAUGGGGGAAUUCCCGGUGUAGAGGUGAAAUUCGUAGAGAUCGGGAGGAAUACCAGUGGCGAAGGCGCCCAUCUGGACGGAUACUGACGCUGAGACGCGAAAGCGUGGGGAGUAAACAGGAUUAGAUACCCUANUANUC
rnacentral:rRNA from 1 species